rnacentral:rRNA from 1 species
AGGGUGUAAACGCUGCAGACUUGGUGUUGGAGGCCCUUUGGGGGCAUUCAGUGCCGGAGAGAAGUUGUUAAGUCUGCUACUUGGGGAGUACGUCCGCAAGGAUGAAACUUAAAGGAAUUGGCGGGGGAGCACCGCAACGGGAGGAGCGUGCGGUUUAAUUGGAUUCAACGCCGAAAAACUCACCAGCAGCGACUGUUACAUGAAAGUCAGGUUGAUGACCUUACUAGAUUUUCAGUAGAGGAGGGUGCAUGGCGUCAGUGACU